UUCAGGGAAGAGUUCACUUCUUCAAACAGGAGGUCAGAGAGCUUGGAGGUGGUAGGCACAGAUAGACAAAAACUGGCACACAAGACCCAGAGUUCAGAUGAAUUAAUAAUGUCUCCUUUUUAUUGUUGUGGAUUUGCUAUUGUUCAGGUUUGCUAUUGCUCAGGCCGGUGUGUUGAAACAGGGACUUACUAUAGAGUUCUGGCUUGUCUAGAAUUCAUGACAUAGACCACACUGGCUUGACUUUCUUGUGGUCUUCUUCCUCUGCCUCUGGAGUACAGGGAUUACAGGUAUGGGCCACUGCUUCCAACAACUCAGUACUCAAGUGAAGCCACAACUGGCCCAAGAACCUUCCAGUAUGUUCCACCUCUGAAGGUUCACAAAGUUCCACCCCCACAAUGGGUCCAACUUUCCAACCAACACACACACCCAUGUUGGCACAGGAAUGGGGGAUGCUCGAGAGUCCAAAGCAUAGCUCAUCCAUGGAGUUAUGUUGUGAAUGCUGAUGAAAGCAUGUGUGUCCAGGGAAGGUUCGUGAGCUCUGUUGCAGGGUGCAUUUGUGCAGACUUAUCCAGUUUUAUUAUCAUCUAUAUUGUUAUCUGUAUUUGUAGACUACUCACAACACUUAUCGUGCCCUAAACAUCUUCCCAUCCCUCACGGCAGCUACCACAGACCGUUCUCUGGAGGAUGCGCUGAUAGACAUCUCUGGAGUGAAUGACUUUAUGCUCAUUUCCUAUCCUCUUGCCCUGAAGGAGUCAGUAAGAGUUCCUGGGGAAGAGGAAGGAAACAUACAGCGUGUGUUUGUAAUGAGAGAAGGGGUGAGAGGAAGCGUAAAAGAGGUUAUGAAGACGGCAGCGUGCCUUCCUUGGCACUAUCCAAGGAGGCAGUAGAAACAAUGACCUUCACUUUAGACACCAACCCAUUAAGGCGUCACAUUGGGCUGCUGUGCUACCCUGAACCUCCAGAAGUAAGGGCUGCCAGACAGCUUGGUGUUAAGUGGGAAGGACUGGGGGUGAGAAAUAAAGAGGAGGAAGCAGUAGCUGGGACCGAGAGGCCUCACAUAAGCUGAUGUCUUAUGUCAAGCAAGUUUAUUAAGAAGAAUAGCAUCGUAAAUACUAUUUACAGGGGAGAACAGCCAAGGUCAGCAGAGAGCUAAAUAGGCAUUGUUGGCAAGGAGGACACAGGACACCUCAGACACAGCUGCCUCAGGACUGAUAACCCUGACCUAGGGGGAAGAGUUGGGUCUCUAGAAGCUUCAACCUUGAUUCCUCCGAGGCACUGGUGCCAGCCCCAGGCAGGCCUUGCCGAAUCCAUUUGUAGACAAGGGCACAGAGCUAGAGUUCCCUUUUGUCAGUGCCUCUAAGGAUGUCUUGGGUCAGUCUGGCUCCCACACUGUGCCCAUUGUGAGGAUGGAGAAAGUUGUAGCUGAAACCAUGACGACGCAGGCAUGUGACAAGGAAACACAGCACACGCUGCCAGGCUGAGAAUCUACCAUGGUGAGGACAGCUGGCAGCAGGUCAGAAGAGGACUGAGAGAUCACAGAGAAAGAAAACCACAAUUAGGCCAGACUACCGACCCUCAAAACCUGCCCCAAGCGAUGUGCUGCCAGCAAGACUCCACCUCCUGAAGCUUCCAGAAACUCCCGUAGCAGCACCAUCAACAGGAGACCAAGGGUCAAGGACCAUCCAAUAAACUCAUUAUCAAGACAAAGAUUUUUCUCCAUGGAGACCUGUUGUCGGUACAGACAACUUCUGGAAGAAAACAAAUAAGCAGGCAACUGUAGCCCUCAUCAGGCAGAGGCUCUGCGGUUCCCUUAUCUCAUGCUCUGCUUGCCUGCCCCAGUAGAGCCCAAGGAUAUUUGCAGGUCUCAUGUUUAAUUAGGGAAGCUAAAAUCAGAGAGGGAAAGUAACCAUUCAGAUGGCUCAAACAGUAAGCGGUCGAGUUAUGCUUGUGAAUAUUCAUAUCUUUGUAGCUCUGAUCACAAAAACAGCUGGAUUCUACCCAUUGACCUAAUCAAGAUCACACUUUGGGAAGGCCAGUCUAUAAAGUAUGUUCAAGUAUGAUGGAGGAGAGCCAGGAAGUCUCCAGGAAACUGCUAAAAAAAAUUCUAGGAAAGAAGAAAUGCAGAGAGA
rnacentral:lncRNA from 1 species